GCUACGGGAGGCAGCAGUGAGGAAUAUUGGUCAAUGGGCGCGAGCCUGAACCAGCCAAGUAGCGUGAAGGAUGACUGCCCUACGGGUUGUAAACUUCUUUUAUAAAGGAAUAAAGUGAGGCACGUGUGCCUUUUUGUAUGUACUUUAUGAAUAAGGAUCGGCUAACUCCGUGCCAGCAGCCGCGGUAAUACGGAGGAUCCGAGCGUUAUCCGGAUUUCUUGGGUUUAAAGGGGGCGUAGAUGGGUUGUUAAGUCAGUUGUGAAAGUUUGGGGCUCAACCGUAAAAUUGCAAUUGAUACUGGCAGUCUUGAGUGGAGGUGAGGUAUGCGGAAUGCGUGGUGUAGCGGUGAAAUGCUUAGAUAUCACGAAGAACUCCGAUUGCGAAGGCAGCUUACU
rnacentral:rRNA from 1 species